UUGUUUCAGGUGUUGUCUGGUCAUUUUGCCAAUAGCAUUGUGUGUAUCUGGGCCAGCUCUUUAUUGGAAGCUCAAAAGGGGUUUUGAUUUGAAACCCACUUCUUUGAUCUCUUGUACUCCCUGCAUCUGUGAUUGUCCCCUCCUCUCUCAUUUCUUAAGCUUGCUCCUGGUAAUAAUCAAUAAAACCCUUUUUUGUUCUCGUUUGAUCGUGUUAUUUAUGGAGUUUCCAGGGUAUAUUUGGGAAUUAUGAUUCCAAAUGUCUAGAAUCAGAAUUUAAUUGUGUCAGUAUAGGUUUUGACUAAAUGGGUCUCAAUUCUGAUUCCAAGCCUCAAAUUUCAUUUCAUUAUUAUUUUAUGACAUGCAUGAUGUAAGACCAACUUGAUUUUCGUUUUUUUUUUAUUUUUAUGAUUUUUUAUUUUUUAGAGUUUUUAGAUUUUUUUGGAUCUUUUAGAAUUUUUUCAAUUUUUUUGAAUUUUUUUUUGAUUUUUUAGAAUCGGAUCAAAAUGGCCAUUGAAAAGAUUUAAAAUGAAAAUCCCCAAAAUGUCCCUUGUUAAGAAUGAGGUUUUUGGAUGGAGUUAGGGUCUGUGAUCAAAAUGGCAACAAAAUGGAAAAGUCAGGGACACAGCGGCGAAAAAAAAAACUAUUUGGACUAAAAUGACAAAUUUGGACAAACCACAGGACUAAAAUGGCAAUUUACUCUAAAAUAAAAAAUUGAUAAGAAUUGGGAUAAGUAAUUUGGUCUACCAUAAUACUUUUGAUUUUGAAUAUAAAAAAUCAAAAUUAUUUCCUGAAAUUAAAAGGUAGAUUUAUGAUUUUUUAAUUGUUUUUAGCUAUAAAAAUCUAAAUAUCUGUUAGAUAGUGGUAGAUUCAGGAUUUUUUUCAAUGAGGUCCAUUUUUUUCCGUUUCAAAAUUUUCAUAACAAAUCGUUAAAAUUUUCGGGUCGGGUCAUAGCGAGGUUUGAACUAGAUU
rnacentral:lncRNA from 1 species